rnacentral:misc_RNA from 1 species
GUGAAUCAUCGAAUCUUUGAACGCAAAUUGCACUCUCUGGCAUUCCGGGGAGUAUGCCUGUUUGAGGGUCAUUAGAAUUAAAAAUCGAGGUGUUGCUGUUUUUUUACGCAUCGUAAUGUGGUUAUCCUGGACCUUUUAAAAAGUUUAAGUGAGCUAAAAUGGAUACCUUUUGCAUCUCAGACGUACAUAAGAAUAUUUUUUUAUCCAUCCUGGAUUACCAACUUGUUAUUAGGUAUGACCAUGCUGUGUAUGUCAUCGUUCGUAUAUUAGUCUCAUAUGUUUA